GGCUGAGAAUGGUUUAGUGGUUGGAGCAUUGGACAAUGAUUCUGGAGAUUAAGGUUCAAUUCCUCGCUUGGCCA